rnacentral:lncRNA from 1 species
CCCCCAAAAGAAUCACAGUAAACUCAGAAGGAAGCAGUUUUUAAAUCCAUGAAUGUUUUUCUCAUAAUUCAUGGCCUCAGAUGACAGGUGAAUGUUUUAAACGCUUGAUGACAUUUAUGGUGAAAGUAUAAUUUUUUUUAUAAAAUUCUUUAUAAAAUCUGUUCUUCUGGGUAUUUGGCUUUUUAAUCUCUUUCCCUCUUUGCCCUUGCAAACUGUUGGAGCAAUUUGAAGAUAGUACAGGUGAUGAAGCGAUUGUGGACCUUCAUUUUUCAAGGACUAGUAGGAAAGAAUGAAGUGUUAAAUUAGAUGAUGUCCCAGAGUGUGGAAGAGAAGAUUACUAAAAAACUAAGAAAAAAGUGGAAUCCGAUUCAUUCAAAAGCAUAGCUGAGAGGGAAAGACACUGGAAAAUGUGAAAUGAGACUAGGGUCACCUUGAUCUUUUUAUCUUUACUUCAUUUUCUUAAGGUUAUAGAAAAGCAUCUUAGAAACGAAUCCACCAUUAAAAAGAAAGCCUGUCUUACUCAUGCUGGUCUCUCCCCAAGUUACCUUUACAGAGAAACGCCUCUAUGUAGAUACGUAGACUGAAUAGAUUAGCAGGGUGGAGGAACUAACAUUGAUUGAAACUUUGCACUUGCUUUGGGGUAGCACUCUGCUAAGUGUGUCGCACAUGCUGUCUUGAUUGAUCACCACUGCACCUCAGAAGGGAAGGACUCCAUUUUAUAAAUGAAAAAUUGAGAACUUCAGUAACUUACCCUAGAUCACAGUUUAGUGAGGAAUCCAAGAUUCAGUGUGUGUCAAUUCUAUGCCACCGGUGCCCAAUCUUGGCACCACUAUCCUUACUAACUUGAAAUUUUAAGUCACUCUUCUGAUGCCUUCUUGGGAGCCACACACACUUAGAAUAUGGGGAAUGAACGGAGGUUGACCUUAGAAGUCAAAGAAGACAACUGACCUAUUAAAUCUAUUAAAUGAAGACCCCUGCUGUUGUCAUAAUAACGUAUCUCCUAGAUUGUGGGUACAUCUUUUAGAUCUGAUGAGGUAUCUAUAGUUUUUAAGAUGUUUUCUUAAAAACACAGGGGCACCUGUGUGGCUCAGUCAGUUAAGCAUCCAAGUCUUGAUUUUGGCUCCGGUCAUGCUUGAUCUCAGGGUCCUGGGGUGGAGCCUUGCGUCAGGCUCUGUGCUGGGCAUGGAGCCUGGUAAAGGUUCUCUCCCUCUGCAACACCCCGCGUGUCCCACUUGCUCAGCUCUCUAAGAAAAAAACGUGAAGUAGCCUGUCAGUUUAUACCCGAGUUGAAAGGUGCUGGGCGGCAAGUCAGUGGUGGGAGGAGCAAAGGGGAUUAGAGUGACCAGGAUCGUGUGAAGAGAUGUACAGAGGAAGGACUGGGUGAACCUGACAUGCUUAAACUGACAGGCUCCAACUCUGCGUGAGCUCCGGGAUGAGGCGGCGGGGCCGCAGGCGGCGCUGACCUCUGGAGACGCGGUCCCGACCGAGGCGGCUGUGAGCAAGUACCACGAAACGGUCUCCCGGGGCCGGCGGACUCCACGGGUAGAGCUGGCGACGCCCGACCUCGGCCGUUAAGCUCAAGCCCCACUUGGGUGUGGAGAUUACUCAAAAAUAAAAUCCUUAAAAAAAAAAAAAAAAAGACUCAUUAAGUAGACCUUACUUUGGAGAUACUGGGUUAAAGGUACCCAUUGAAAUGUUUUACUUUUUAUGCCCCUGUCGGGGAUGCCUUGUGUUCCGGCGCGGACCGCGACCUGGGCAGCCCCGGACUCCGGGGCCACAGGGAUCAAUGACCACACAUUUGAACCACGCCGCCUUCCUGAGAAACAGCGUUCUUUUCUCUCAUACCGGUUCCUCCACUAAGAGCCGUGUCUCCCGCCCUAGCGGCUUCGAGUCCCGGUCCCCGCGCGGACGUCUCGGUUCCCGGCUCUGACCGCCGGGGCCGACGGGCACACCUGCGGGACGUCUGUAGAGACGAGGACCCCCGAAUAGGCCGCGGCCUUUCGGAGGAAGCUCCCGCGGGGGCGGCGGUGGGGGCGGCUCCGGCAGCUGGA